CAUACCGCCUUGGGGUGCUGGAAUUACGGCCGGCUGAGAGUGUAUCCCGCAAGAUACUGACCCUUAUACCUGAUCUGGAUAAUGCCAGCGUAGGAAAGUCCAAAAGCGUGUGG
rnacentral:ncRNA from 2 species